CCCCCCCCGAGUCAAAUUCCACUUCAGUGACAUCCACAGACGGGUCACAGCAGACAAAAUAGUCUUUGAUUUUAGGCUUGCAAAAGAAGAUAUGGAAUUGCUUGACUCCAUGGACAUCAACAGAAAGUUGGUCUAUCUAACCUAUCCAAUAUGGAAGGGAUAACUCAUGGAGUGGUUACAGAAUAGACUGGCUGAGAACACGGUGACUUCUGGAUUCCUCCAAGCUAUUUACUUAAUGCAUUCAAAGCUAAUGCAACUUAAGUACUUUUUGCACAAAGCUAUCUUUCCUUAUUAACAAAUUAUUAGGCUACUGUAUGGGGUGUUCCCAUUUCCGAGCUCUCACUAAAAGACUUUUCAGGAAGUUGCAAGUUACUCUUGAGCCUAACUAGAUAUGAAUUUUAAAAAGUCAUUGCUAAACUUAACUCGGCUGGAGCCCUGUUGGUUUUGGCUGUGUGUGUGAGACAAUUUGGAGUUUGGAACUGUGUGAAAACGAAAAUUAAUGUAAUUAAUAAUAUUAAUGUCUGAUUAAUAUUUUGUUCUAUCUACUCUUUUUUUGCAUGGAGUUGAACCAUAAAUUACUAUCACCCAAUUUCAGUCCACUUUAUUGUCAAUAAACAUGUUUAAACCAA